GUGAGCGAUUGAAUCUAAUAACAUCCAUACGGGCGGGGUUUCAACUAGGAGGCAUUUGGAGAUUGAAGAUAUAAUAGCAUAUUGGCAGAAUAUGAUUUAGUAUUUGGAUUUUGGAGAGAGAGAGAUGAGGAGAGAGAGCUUAAAAAGGGUCGCUGGCCAGAUCAAUAAGAGUGUAAGGAGGUGCUUUUACCUCCAUUGUCACUGCAAUCGCUAAAGCUCUCCAGAUCCAAAACACCCUCAUCGAACACUAGGGUUCAAAAUUGCCUUAAAUCGAAGGCCCAUCGGGAUUACGAAUGACGAAAUCAGAAACGCUCUUCGAACGAUGAUAAGUGGAAAUCGAUGAUGGUGGGUUGUAAGGAUGUCGGCAAUCUGCAGAUGGGGUAAUUCUAAGAAGAAAUAGAGAGAGAGAGGGGUCGCGCUAGCGGUUACCGGAGGGUGGAGGCAAUCUUUUGCGUAGAUCGGUUUAUCCAAGGAGAGUAUGGAAGACUCAGUACCAUCAUCGAUGGAUAGUUUUUCAACCUGUUCUCUUUACAGAGCCAUUUAAACCAGCGUUUGUUCCCGAUAGCAACACCAACACUACUGUCCGCCACCACCAACCUGUGCCAUCGAUCACCAUUGUUGUCGUCUCCGGUAGCCGUUGUAAACAACCCAACCCCAUGACCCCUCGCCACUACUGCCUACCAUCUCCGUCACCUCCUUCGCAAGCGGGACAAGAAGAGGCAGCCAUGUGGACGCGCUCACAAGCGUAUCCAGUAUAACCGCCAUUCAUCACUGCCGGUAAAGUUCACGGAUCAUUGGUGCGUGCGGGCAAGGUGAGAGGCCAAACCCAAAAGUCGCCAAGCAGGACAAGAAGAAGCAGCCUUGCGGACGCGCUCACAAGCGUAUCCAGUACAACUAUCGUUUGUCACGGCCAAUGUUAAUUCUCUCAUUCCUUAAUUUAUUUGUUUUCAAGAUAACACAAUUAGAAUGAGUUACCUGCCCAGCAACCGGCACUAAACCAACAGUAAUAACUACCCAGCAACCGGGAUGGAGUGGAAUCUAAAUUUAAUUUUAAAAGUUUUUGGUUCUCCCAUAAUUUGUUAGAAUUAGAAUCCAAAUUUCGUUUGUUUGGUUGAGAAAUGAUAUUGAAAUGUAUUCACUUAAUGGUGAA